UACGUAUGUCCCGAGCGUUAUCCGGAUUUAUUGGGCGUAAAGCGAGCGCAGACGGUUGAUCAAGUCUGAUGUGAAAGCCCGGAGCUCAACUCCUGAAUGGCAUUUAAAACUGGUUAACUUGAGUGUUGUAGAGGUAAGUGGAACUCCAUGUGUAGCGGUGAAAUGCGUAGAUAUAUGGAAGAACACCAGUGGCGAAGGCGGCUUACUGGACAACAACUGACGUUGAGGCUCGAAAGUGUGGGUAGCAAACAGG
rnacentral:rRNA from 1 species